UACGUAGGGUGCGAGCGUUAAUCGGAAUUACUGGGCGUAAAGCGUGCGCAGGCGGUUUGUUAAGCCAGAUGUGAAAGCCCCGGGCUCAACCUGGGAACUGCAUUUGAAACUGCAAGGCUUGAGUAUGGGAGAGGUAAGUGGAAUUCCGAGUGUAGAGGUGAAAUUCGUAGAUAUUCGGAAGAACAUCAAUGGCGAAGGCAGCUUACUGGACCAUAACUGACGCUGAGGCACGAAAGCGUGGGGAGCAAACAGG
rnacentral:rRNA from 1 species